rnacentral:rRNA from 1 species
GGGGAAUCUUAGACAAUGGGCGCAAGCCUGAUCUAGCCAUGCCGCGUGUGUGAUGAAGGUCUUAGGAUCGUAAAGCACUUUCGCCAGGGAUGAUAAUGACAGUACCUGGUAAAGAAACCCCGGCUAACUCCGUGCCAGCAGCCGCGGUAAUACGGAGGGGGUUAGCGUUGUUCGGAAUUACUGGGCGUAAAGCGUACGUAGGCGGAUCAGAAAGUUAGGGGUGAAAUCCCGAGGCUCAACCUCGGAACUGCCUCUAAAACUCCUGGUCUUGAGUUCGAGAGAGGUGAGUGGAAUUCCAAGUGUAGAGGUGAAAUUCGUAGAUAUUUGGAGGAACACCAGUGGCGAAGGCGGCUCACUGGCUCGAUACUGACGCUGAGGUACGAAAGUGUGGGGAGCAAACAGG